AAACGUAGGGGGCGAGCGUUGUCCGGAAUUACUGGGCGUAAAGGGCGUGUAGGCGGUCUAAUAAGUCUCGAGGUGAAAACUUACGGCUCAACCGUAAGCGUGCCUGAGAAACUGUUGGACUUGAGGGCAGGAGAGGGGAGUGGAAUUCCCAGUGUAGCGGUGAAAUGCGUAGAUAUUGGGAGGAACACCGGUGGCGAAGGCGGCUCUCUGGCCUGUUACUGACGCUGAGGCGCGAAAGCGUGGGGAGCGAACGGGAUUAGAUACCCCGGUAGUCCACGCCGUAAACGAUGGGUGCUAGGUGUAGGAGGUAUCGACCCCUUCUGUGCCGUAGUAAACACAAUAAGCACCCCGCCUGGGGAGUACGGCCGCAAGGUUGAA
rnacentral:rRNA from 1 species